rnacentral:lncRNA from 1 species
AUGAAGAAGGGAGCUAUUAAAGCUGAAAAGAGUAAAGAAGCAAAGGUGAGUAGACGUCAACGAGUAACAGUGAAGACCCAGCCGUGCCUGGAGUAAAUUAAGGUGAUCUAUGUCUCUGGCUUUCCAAGCCAGCAGCAAAUAAUCCCAAAGCAGGUAAACAUCUAAAAGAAAGGAAUGAAAACAGGUUUUAUUUAUAAAUGCCUCACUGUUGGAACCUGCAUGAAUGAAAGCUGAAUCUCAAAGAUCAGACACGUUGGACUUGGAAUAAUGUCCAUGUUAUGAUUCCAAUCUGUGCCUAAAUCUGAACCACUCAGUUCUUCAUGCUUGUUGGAAUCCUCCUAAAAUUGGAAUUUCCUGGGAGAUAUCCAGUACUUUUUGGGCAAAACAAACAGCCUUUCUUGUAAUAUGCUAUGUCUAGUGCUAACUGAAUUCAAGAAGUUUAUGAGUGUGGGGAAAGUAACUUGAUUUCUUUGCAAACUUACAAAUUUGCUUCAGUUUAAAUUUUGACCAAAAAUUCAUCUCAGGAAUAUGUUUUGGAAUAAUUCUUUGCUAUUAGUUAUAAAUGUGGCAAAUAUUGUUUAAACAAUAAAAUAUUAUUUUAUACAACAAAUUAUGGCAACAAAUUCCUUGUAGUGAUAGAUUUUUUAAAAUCUUUAAAUCAUAGAUAAGGAUUUAUUAUGCUCCAUGUCAAUUAUAUG